rnacentral:rRNA from 1 species
CCUACGGGAGGCUGCAGUGGGGAAUAUUGGACAAUGGGGGCAACCCUGAUCCAGCCAUGCCGCGUGUGUGAAGAAGGCCCUCGGGUUGUAAAGCACUUUCAGUGAGGAAGAACGCCUGGUGGUUAAUACCCAUCAGGAAAGACAUCACUCACAGAAGAAGCACCGGCUAACUCCGUGCCAGCAGCCGCGGUAAUACGGAGGGUGUGAGCGUUAAUCGGAAUUACUGGGCGUAAAGCGCGCGUAGGUGGCUUGAUAAGCCGGUUGUGAAAGCCCCGGGCUCAACCUGGGAACGGCAUCCGGAACUGUCAAGCUAGAGUGCAGGAGAGGAAGGUAGAAUUCCCGGUGUAGCGGUGAAAUGCGUAGAGAUCGGGAGGAAUACCAGUGGCGAAGGCGGCCUUCUGGACUGACACUGACACUGAGGUGCGAAAGCGUGGGUAGCAAACAGGAUUAGAUACCCGAGUAGUC